rnacentral:rRNA from 1 species
GACGAGCCGCGUGGGGGAUGAAUGGCUUCGGCCCGUAAACCCCUGUCAUCUGCGAGCAAUCCCUUUGGUCCAACACACCUGAGGUUGAUAGUAGUAGAAGAGGAAGGGACGGCUAACUCUGUGCCAGCAGCCGCGGUAAUACAGAGGUCCCAAGCGUUGUUCGGAUUUACUGGGCGUAAAGGGUGCGUAGGCGGCCACUAUAGUCUGAUGUGAAAUCUCGGUGCUCAACUCCGAAACUGCAUUGGAUACUGAGUGGCUCGAAGAACGUAGGGGAGACUGGAAUUCUCGGUGUAGCAGUGAAAUGCGUAGAUAUCGAGAGGAACACCAGUGGCGAAGGCGAGUCUCUGGACGUUUCUUGACGCUGAGGCACGAAAGCCAAGGGAGCAAACGGGAUUAGAUACCCCGGUAGUCUUGGCUGUAAACUGUGCGUAUUUGCUGUGAGGUGAUUAAAACCGUCUCGUGGCGUAGCUAACGCGAUAAAUACGCCGCCUGGGGAGUACGGUCGCAAGAUUAAAACUCAAAGAAAUUGACGGGGGCCUGCACAAGCGGUGGAGUAUGUGGCUUAAUUCGAUGCAACGCGAAGAACCUUACCUAGCCUUGACAUGCAAGUAGUAGAAGUGUGAAAGCACGACGAGGUAGCAAUACCCGCUUGCACAGGUGCUGCAUGGCUGUCGUCAGCUCGUGUCGUGAGAUGUUGGGUUAAGUCCCGCAACGAGCGCAACCCC